rnacentral:rRNA from 1 species
GCCCGCUACAGAAACUUAAAGGAAGUUGGCGGGGGCCCGCACAAGCGGUGGAGUAUGUGGUUUAAUUCGAUGCAACGCGAAGAACCUUACCUGGUCUUGACAUCCCGGAGACCCUUAGGAAACUAGGGGGUGCUUCCAUCUGGAAGAAUCUGGAGACAGGUGCUGCAUGGCUGUCGUCAGCUCGUGUCGUGAGAUGUUGGGUUAAGUCCCGCAACGAGCGCAACCCUUGCCUUUAGUUGCCAGCAGUUCGGCUGGGCACUCUAAAGGGACUGCCGGUGUUAAACCGGAGGAAGGUGGGGAUGGCGUCAAGUCCUCAUGGCCUUUAUGACCAGGGCUACACACGUACUACAAUGGCCGAUACAAAGGGCAGCGACACUGCGAGGUGAAGCCAAUCCCGUAAAAUCGGUCUCAGUCCGGAUUGGAGUCUGCAACUCGACUCCAUGAAGUUGGAAUCGCUAGUAAUCGUGGAUCAGCAUGCCACGGUGAAUACGUUCCCGGGCCUU